GACUCGGUAGCUCAGCUGGAUAGAGCACCUGCCUUCUAAGCAGGUUGUCGGCGGUUCGAGUCCGCCCCGGGUCA
rnacentral:tRNA from 1 species